GCUGGCCCCGCCCUUACAUGAAAACCAGGGGUCAGGAUGACACCGAAAAAAGAACUACAGGCACUUGCUAAACCACUUCCUUCCCAUUUGGAGGAGACAGGACUCUGGACAUAUGGAGCUCUGAUUCUGAGCAAAUGGUGGGUUGUCAGUAAAGCUUGUACCACUGAGAAAGGAGAAUCCGUGAAGACAAGAGUUUGCAGACACAAUGCUGUCCAGUUGUGAACUGCUGCAGAAUUCUG